rnacentral:tRNA from 1 species
GCCGCACGGCCAAAAACCCGCAACUGACUUGUAAUCAGUAGGUCCCGGGUUCGACUCCUGGUGUCGGCA